rnacentral:lncRNA from 1 species
AAUAUAUACGACCUUUUCUUCACAAAUACAUAUUUUUUUAUGAUCUAAAGCUGAUAAAAUAUAUUCUAGAGGGCUAGGAGCUGCCGUAAACAUCAAGGAGGCAAAGAUUCAUCGUCCAGUGAACCUAUGUAUUACUUUCAUAAACUUAUGUGGUGUUAUUACAUAGAUUACAUAAUAAAACAAGCACUAAUUAAAGAUACAUUUCUAAGGUGAUAUAUAAGCAAAAACAAAAUAUAAAAUAAAAGGAAAC